AACCCGGGGAAGAGCGGUUUUAACCCGCUAUCCUUUGGGGGAGAAAGGGGGUGUCCUUUGGGACCUCCGUUUACAGGGGCGGCCGAUGGCAGAUAAGCUAGUUGUGGGGUAAAGGCCUACCAGGGGGCCGAUCCGUAGUUGUUUGAGAGGACGACCAGCCACCCGGGGAUUGAGACCCGGCCCAGAUUCCUACGGGAGGCAGCAGUGGGGAAUUUUGGACAAUGGGCGCAAGCCUGAUCCAGCAAUGCCGCGUGUGUGAAGAAGGCCUUCGGGUUGUAAAGCACUUUUGUCCGGAAAGAAAACUUCAGCCCUAAUACGGCGGGGGGAUGACGGUACCGGAAGAAUAAGCACCGGCUAACUACGUGCCAGCAGCCGCGGUAAUACGUAGGGUGCAAGCGUUAAUCGGAAUUACUGGGCGUAAAGCGUGCGCAGGCGGUCCGCUAAGACAGAUGUGAAAUCCCCGGGCUUAACCUGGGAACUGCAUUUGUGACUGGCGGGCUAGAGUAUGGCAGAGGGGGGUAGAAUUCCACGUGUAGCAGUGAAAUGCGUAGAGAUGUGGAGGAAUACCGAUGGCGAAGGCAGCCCCCUGGGCCAAUACUGACGCUCAUGCACGAAAGCGUGGGGAGCAAACAGGAUUAGAUACCCUGGUAGUCCACGCCCUAAACGAUGUCAACUAGUUGUCGGGCCUUCAUUGGCUUGGUAACGUAGCUAACGCGUGAAGUUGACCGCCUGGGGAGUACGGUCGCAAGAUUAAAACUCAAAGGAAUUGACGGGGACCCGCACAAGCGGUGGAUGAUGUGGAUUAAUUCGAUGCAACGCGAAAAACCUUACCUACCCUUGACAUGUACGGAAUCCUGCUGAGAGGUGGGAGUGCCCGAAAGGGAGCCGUAACACAGGUGCUGCAUGGCUGUCGUCAGCUCGUGUCGUGAGAUGUUGGGUUAAGUCCCGCAACGAGCGCAACCCUUGUCCCUAGUUGCUACGCAAGAGCACUCCAGGGAGA
rnacentral:rRNA from 1 species